UGUAAAGUUCAAGCUCCGAUUAUGAGGGCGAAACCGCGAAUGGCUCAUUAAAUCAGUCAUAAUCUACUUGAUUGUUUAAAGUUUAUAUGGAUAACUGUGGUAAUUCUAGAGCUAAUACAUGCACAAAGAGGGCGACUCUGCUUGUUUGGAGAAGCUCUGCGUUUAUUAGACUAAGACCAAUGGGUACGCUUGCGUGCUCCUAUUGUCAAGGUGACUCUGAGUAAAAAAUGGGUGAAAGCCCAUGAUGCAGACCUGACAUACCAAAGGGCCCGGAUUCUCGAAUCUUGGGUUCGUCAGGCAAAUCAAUCGAGUGUCUGCUCUAUCAACUGUGGAUGGUAGGGUAAUUGCCUACCAUGGUGGUGACGGGUAACGGGGAGUUAGGGCUCGACUCCGGAGAACAAGCCUGAGAAACGGCUAGUAGGACUAAGGUCUGCAGCAGGCGCGAAACUUACACAAUGCUAGAUUACCUUUUUAGCGAUGUAGUGAAGAAAAAUAACGAUGUACUUCCAUUUAAACAUGGUAGUACAAUUGGAAUGAGACGACUAUAAACCAGUUAGUCGAGUAACAAAUGGAGGGCAAGUCUGGUGCCAGCAGCCGCGGUAAUUCCAGCUCCAUUAGCAUACAUUAAAGUUGUUGCGGUUAAAAAGCUCGUAGUUGAAUUUUGGGCGCGUUCCAUUGGGCUGGGGCCGUUAAGGUCGCUAGAUACCCGAAAGGGUCUAGUUCGGCUGGUCUCCAUUGUCCGUUGGGAACGCGCUGUUUCGUCACUUAAUCGAGUGCGAAGCGUGCUGGUACAGGUUGCAUACUUCGGUAUGCUCUGUUUCAGCGUGUUUACCUUGAGAAAAUUAGAGUGCUCACAGCAGGCAGUUGGGGUGUAAAAGCUCCUUUAUGCUUGAAUAAUGUUGCAUGGAAUAAUAGAAUACGGCCUCGGUUCUAUUCUGUUGGUCUUAUAGAACAACAAACAAGUUGAUUGGGGCGACCAAAAGUUGCUAGUUGUGCGUGUUUGGUACACUUCUUGAAGUAAGCGUAUCUCUCUACUACCUGUUGCCUGGGGCCUUAAAAUCUCAGUGCCUAGUAGUGAGCUGAUAUUGCCCUUCUUAGGUUGCCAUCCAUUUAAAGCGCCUACUAGUUAGCUAGCUCUUAAAUCAACUGAGGCAAUGGUUAAAAGAAAUAGUCGCGGCGGCAUCAGUACUGCAUCGUGAGAGGUGAAAUUCUUAGACCGAUGCAAGACUAACUGAAGCGAAAGCGUUUGCCGAGGAUAUUUUCAUUAAUCAAGAACGAAAGUUAGAGGUUCGAAGGCGAUCAGAUACCGCCCUAGUUCUAACCAUAAACGUUGCCAACUAGCAAUUGGGUUGCGAUUCCUUUAAUCAAAGUCUCUUAAAACAGCUUUGAUCAUUAGCGAUCCACCCAGCGGCUCUCGUAGGGAAACCAAAGUGUUUGGGUUCCGGGGGAAGUAUGAUUGCAAAGUUGAAACUUAAAGGAAUUGACGGAAGGGCACCACCAGGAGUGGAGCCUGCGGCUUAAUUUGACUCAACACGGGGAAACUUACUAGAUUAGAACUCUGGAAUGAUUGACAGAUUGAUAGCUCUUUCUUGAUUCAGAGGAUGGUGGUGCAUGGCCGUUCUUGAUUCGUAUUCCGAAACGUCUGCUUAAUUGCGAUAACGAGUGAGACCUCAGCCAGCUAACUAGUCGCCUGGUGCGCUGUGGAACGCUAAAGUUCCGGUUAGGUUCAAUGUUUGCGGGUAGCUAUGCGGGACUUGUCUCGUAUGGUCCGUAGGCGCCUAGCCGGGAUGUUCUCUGCUCGCCGGCGGACUUCUUAGAGGGAUAAACGGUGUUUUAGCCGUAAGAAACGAGGCAAUAACAGGUCUGUGAUGCCCUUAGAUACUCUAGGCCGCACGCGUGCUACAAUGGCGUGUGCAGAAAGCUUGUUCGAGGUUUGUCUGGAGAGAACUAGUUGUUUGGUUGCUCUUAGGGGUUCGCUUCUAGGGGUGGAUCGGCAAAAAAGUGACUUCAGUUUUACAGGCCGAGAGAAACCGUAGCCGAAAGGUUACGGCAAUCAUAAAUACACGCCGUGAUUUGGGAUUGGGGAUUGCAAUUGUUGCCCAUGAACGAGGAAUUCCCAGUAAGCGCAAUUCAUCAUAUUGCGUUGAUUACGUCCCUGCCCUUUGUACACACCGCCCGUCGCUACUACCGAUUGGAAGUUUUAGUGAGGCAUUUGGACCUGCUUGCCAUCGGACUGGCCGCAAGGUUGGUCUCGGCCGGCGGGGAAGUCUGUCGAACUCAAAUUUCUAGAGGAAGUAAAAGUCGUAACAAGGUUUCCGU
rnacentral:rRNA from 1 species